GACGAACGCUGGCGGCGUGCCUAACACAUGCAAGUCGAACGGAACUGUUUUGAAAGAUUUCUUCGGAAUGAAUUUGAUUUAGUUUAGUGGCGGACGGGUGAGUAACGCGUGAGUAACCUGCCUUCAAGAGGGGAAUAACAUUCUGAAAAGAAUGCUAAUACCGCAUGACAUAUCGGAACCACAUGGUUUUGAUAUCAAAGAUUUUAUCGCUUGAAGAUGGACUCGCGUCCGAUUAGUUAGUUGGUGAGGUAACGGCUCACCAAGACCGCGAUCGGUAGCCGGACUGAGAGGUUGAACGGCCACAUUGGGACUGAGACACGGCCCAGACUCCUACGGGAGGCAGCAGUGGGGGAUAUUGCGCAAUGGGGGCAACCCUGACGCAGCAACGCCGCGUGAAGGAUGAAGGUUUUCGGAUUGUAAACUUCUUUUAUUAAGGACGAAACUUGACGGUACUUAAUGAAUAAG
rnacentral:rRNA from 1 species